UAGAUUGAAGCCAGUUGUUUAGGGUAUUUAGCUGUUAACUAAAACUUCGUGGGGGAGGAUCCCACCAAUCUAG
rnacentral:tRNA from 1 species